rfam:Triticum aestivum genome assembly, contig: Triticum_aestivum_CS42_TGACv1_scaffold_433569_5DL
UAGUUACUCCCUCCGUCCGGAAAAGCUUGUCCCUCAAAUGGAUGUAUCUAGCACUAACUUGUCCUUCAAAUGGAUGUAUCUAGCACUAACUUUGUGCUAGAUACAUCCAUUUGAAGGACAAGUUUGGGACAAGCUUUUUCGGACGGAGGGAGUAUAAG